rnacentral:tRNA from 1 species
CAGAUUAUAGCAUAUGCUAAUGCAUUCUAUUUACACUAGAAAGAAAGGUUAAUCUGA